GAUGAACGCUGGCGGCAUGCCUUACACAUGCAAGUCGAACGGUAACGCGGGGCAACCUGGCGACGAGUGGCGAACGGGUGAGUAAUGUAUCGGAACGUGCCCAGUUGUGGGGGAUAACUGCUCGAAAGAGCAGCCAAUACCCCAUCCGCCCUGAGGGUCACAGCGGGGGAUCGCAAGACCUCGCGCAGUGGGAGCGGCAGAUAUCAGCUUAGGUAGUUGGUGGGGUAAAGGCUCACCAAGCCAACGAUCUGUAGCUGGUCUGAGAGGACGACCAGCCACACUGGGACUGAGACACGGCCCAGACUCCUACGGGAGGCAGCAGUGGGGAAUUUUGGACAAUGGGCGCAAGCCUGAUCCAGCCAUGCCGCGUGCGGGAAGAAGGCCUUCGGGUUGUAAACCGCUUUUGUCAGGGAAGAAAAGACUCCUGUUAAUACCGGGGGUUCAUGACGGUACCUGAAGAAUAAGCACCGGCUAACUACGUGCCAGCAGCCGCAGUAA
rnacentral:rRNA from 1 species